AGAGAUUUUGCUGAUGUAAGAUACAAUGAAAAGAGAGCAUCUGGUUCUGAUAAUACCUUUUUUAUCUGUGCAAUAAACCCUUCACGUUUUCCUGUCACGGAAGGUGCACCGUCUGUACAUACACUCACUAAAUUAACCAAAUCCAGUCCAACUUCAUGACAUUUAUCUUGAAAGUUGUUGAAGAAAUCUAUUCCUCGUAUUCUACCCGUAAGAGUGCCCAA